rnacentral:rRNA from 1 species
UACGUAGGGUCCAAGCGUUAUCCGGAAUCACUGGGCGUAAAGCGUUCGAUAGGUGGUCUGUUAAGUGAGAUGUGAAAGCGUGUGGCUACAACCCAUAUCGUUGUGUUUCAUACUGGCAGACUAGAGGGAAGCAGAGGCAAGGUGGAAUUGGCAGUGUAGCAGUGAAAUGCGUAGAGAUUGCCAGGAACACCAAUGGCGAAGGCAGCCUUGGCUGGGCUUUUUCUGACACUGAGGACGAAAGCGUGGGGAGCGAACAGG